rnacentral:ncRNA from 2 species
GAAAAUAACACAGCGUGUGGUCCCCGUGAGAUGAUGUACCUAUCUCACCGGGAAUACGAGGAAAGGGCCACGUGAGGAUGGAGUACCCAUCUCAUCGUGGAAUCGAACGUUUGUGGAUGUCAGACAUCCACAAAACAGUAUCUGCGGGAACCCUUCGGUAGUGCUCCCUACCGUAACAUCAUCCGGAAAACCAUAUCGGUAACGGUAUGUCCAAAUGGAAGAUGAUCGAGCCA